CUGGUUGAUCCUGCCAGAGGUUACUGCUAUCGAGGUUCGACUAAGCCAUGCGAGUCGAAUGUAGCAAUACAUGGCGUACUGCUCAGUAACACAUGGAUAACCUACCCUUAGGACGGGGAUAAACCCGGGAAACUGGGUAUAAUACCCGAUAGAUCUCGACUGCUGGAAUGCAUCGAGAUCCAAAGCUCCGGCGCCUAAGGAUGGGUCUGCGGCCUAUCAGGUAGUAGUGGGUGUAGCGUACCUACUAGCCUACGACGGGUACGGGUUGUGAGAGCAAGAGCCCGGAGAUGGAUUCUGAGACACGAAUCCAGGCCCUACGGGGUGCAGCAGGCGCGAAAACUUUACAAUGCCGGCAACGGCGAUAAGGGGACCUCGAGUGCCAGGUUACAAAUCUGGCUGUCGUGAUGCCUAAAAAGCAUUGCAUAGCAAGGGCCGGGCAAGACCGGUGCCAGCCGCCGAGGUAACACCGGCGGCUCGAGUGGUAACCGUUAUUAUUGGGUCUAAAGGGUCUGUAGCCGGCCGGAUAAGUCUCUUGGGAAAUCUGGCAGCUUAACUGUCAGGCUUUCAGGAGAUACUGUCUGGCUCGAGGCCGGGAGAGGUGAGAGGUACUUCAGGGGUAGGGGUGAAAUCUUGUAAUCCUUGAAGGACCACCAGUGGCGAAGGCGUCUCACCAGAACGGACCUGACGGCAAGGGACGAAAGCUAGGGGCACGAACCGGAUUAGAUACCCGGGUAGUCCUAGCCGUAAACGAUACUCGCUAGGUGUCGGCCACGGUGCGUCCGUUGUCGGUGCCGUAGGGAAGCCGUGAAGCGAGCCACCUGGGAAGUACGGCCGCAAGGCUGAAACUUAAAGGAAUUGGCGGGGGAGCGCCACAACGGGUGGAGCUUGCGGUUUAAUUGGAUUCAACGCCGGG
rnacentral:rRNA from 1 species